rnacentral:rRNA from 1 species
CCUACGGGAUGCAGCAGUCGAGAAUCAUUCACAAUGGGGGAAACCCUGAUGGUGCGACGCCGCGUGGGGGAAUGAAGGUCUUCGGAUUGUAAACCCCUGUCAUGUGGGAGCAAAUUAAAAAGAUAGUACCACACGAGGAAGAGACGGCUAACUCUGUGCCAGCAGCCGCGGUAAUACAGAGGUCUCAAGCGUUGUUCGGAAUCACUGGGCGUAAAGCGUGCGUAGGCUGUUUCGUAAGUCGUGUGUGAAAGGCGCGGGCUCAACCCGCGGACGGCACAUGAUACUGCGAGACUAGAGUAAUGGAGGGGGAACCGGAAUGCUCGGUGUAGCAGUGAAAUGCGUAGAUAUCGAGAGGAACACUCGUGGCGAAGGCGGGUUCCUGGACAUUAACUGACGCUGAUGCACGAAGGCCAGGGGAGCGAAAGGGAUUAGAUACCCGAGUAGUC